UUUCCUAUUUGACUGCCAAAUUUUUUCCUUGUAGUAGAUUUAAGUGGCUAUGCUUAUGGGAUAUAGUAAAAUUGCCAUGAUUUGAACUGAAGAGGAUAUCAUUGUGUCCUCUUCCUAUAUGAAAUGACUCAACAGAAUAAA